rnacentral:rRNA from 1 species
CACGUAGGGCGCAAGCGUUGUCCGGAAUUAUUGGGCGUAAAGAGCUCGUAGGCGGUCUGUUGCGUCCGCUGUGAAAACUCGAGGCUUAACCCCGAGCCUGCAGUGGAUACGGGCAGACUAGAGGUAGGUAGGGGAGAAUGGAAUUCCCGGUGUAGCGGUGAAAUGCGCAGAUAUCGGGAGGAACACCGGUGGCGAAGGCGGUUCUCUGGGCCUUACCUGACGCUGAGGAGCGAAAGCGUGGGGAGCGAACAGG